AUCACGCCACUGCACUCCAGCCUGGGCGACAGAGCAAGGUUCCAUCAAAAAAGAAAAGAAAAGAAACCGGCGGGCCAUCCGCGGCCGGUCCAGCUCCCGUCGCAGCGGCUGGGACCCACACCAGGCCAUUCACGGGGGUGCCAUAGGGCAGCUGCGUGCAGUGUUUGGGUAGCAGGACGCAGACGGCGGGGUCGCGGGGGCUUCGGGGUGUCCUCGGCCCCAGGCCGUCCAGCCCUGUGGACCGAAUGAAGUCCCGCACGCCACGUGUUGAGGUAGUAGUAGGUGCCCCUUGUGCGGGGUCAGCCCUCCUGCAGGCGGUGCUCACGGUACGGGCUGGCGAAAGUGGAGACGGACGGCAGGAUGGAUUCACUUGGCCACAUGGCCGGGAGCUAGGACGACGCACACCGGUGAGUGGCUGCCCGGGUGGGCUGGUCGGGGCGCGGGCAGGGGGGCAUGGUUCUGCCAAGGAUUUUGCUUUGUUUAUCGCAAGAUGGGGGUAUUUCCUCCUUUCUGCAGUUUAUAAUUGCGUGAAUUAGUGCAGUGAAUUGAGGAUGCAGUAAAAAUAAUAUCUUCAAAGAUUAUUAAAUUCGUUAUUAACACAUACGAGUUUACGUGUGUGUAUGGAAAGCAGGUAUACAUCAAAAAUUCUUAAUGAAUACAAGAAAGAGAACUACCAAUAUUGGAGCAAAUUUUUCAAAUACAAACACCAGUGAAUAUAGGCAAGGCCUUUUCUUUUAUUAUUAUUACUAUAAGUUCUAGGGUACAUGUGUACAACGUGCAGGUUUGUUACAUGGGUACACAUGUGCCAGCAACGCCUUUUCAAUAAUGUCUUACAAGGAGAAACGUGGCUCCUCUAGGUAAACAGCCCUCAGUGCGCAUCUCCCUGAAGUCCAGAUGGAUCCGGUAGAGCUGUGGGGUUCACAGCUCACACUGAGGCAUUUAGGGCCUAAGCACCACUUUACUUUUUUGUACAGUGAGUAGGAAAUCAGUGAUCUAAAUGAGUUUAAAUCUUAUUAGGGAUUCGAACUGCGCUUCAGACUCUGUCUCUCUUCCUCCCAGAGCUAGAUUCAACAUGAAUUAAAAUACAAAUAUAAAACAAUGAAUUAUGAUAGUGACAAAGACCUUCCUUCGAACUUCAGAUUUUUCCAGCAGCCCCUUUCUUUCUGUUUCCCACCUGCCUUCAACUCUUUCUCCUAAAAAAGUUCAGUUGGGGUGAAUGUGUGGUGACUUAGAACAUCAUUAUUUUAACACGAUCCCAAAGCAGUUUUCAUUAUAUGCAAAGAUGCAUAUUUAUUUACAUUUUUUAAAAUGUUCUAAAUUGGUUUCUUACGUCCAAAAGAAGGGGAGCUAGUUAUAAGAAAAGAGAAUUGAGUAAGGUAAGAAAGUGUUAAUCAUUUCAAAUCAAAGUGGGAAACAUGCAAAGCAGAAAGAAUCAACUUCAUAAACUCAACAAAUUAUUAACGUAAAUAAUUCCCAACUCCUGUAUCUAUAUAACAUUAGUGAUCUGUGAGGUGAACUGAGAUUCUGAAUAAAAAGUAAAUAAUAAGACCAUUUUUCUAAGCCAAAAAAGUUUUUGUCUUAUUAAUUGUGGAAUUUCACCAAUUAAUUUUUUUUCAAAUAAAAUUUCUUAAACUUUUAGUGCCUACUAUUGCUUGUGGGUUAAUAAACCCUAGCAGAAAACAAAAUCAUCAAGGAAAUGGUAAACAUUAAUGGGAAAUUUGUGUAACCUUAAUUCUUAACGUGUCUUAUUAAUUAAUUUUUAAAAUGUGAAGGUGUAUUCUUGGUGUUUGGUAAUUAACUAAGUUUAUUAACCUCUCACAAAUAUGAGGAAUUUUAUUCCCUAAAGGAACGUGAGGAACACUAGUAGUUCAAGAAAAUGCUGAAGGUGACCUUGGCUGAGAAGCUAGGAUAGGCUGACGAAGUCAGACUUAGUGUAGGAACCUGGUAAGCGAUGGAUCGAUGUUAGCUGUCUUCACUUAUUGCACUAGUAUAAUCAGUUUGAUGAUACAUACUUUAGCCCCAGCUGUUACUUAAGACCUGGUUUCACAUUUUAUGUUCUUUUUCCUGUGCAGGCUGGGAAAGGGUUUCUUCUGGCCAUAAAAACUACUCCAAUGGCUGUGGCAGACUAAAUUCCAAUUCCGGUUGAUACAGCCAUCAAUCUCCCGCUAGCUGGAGGAUGGUGUGCUGCAGCUCACAGGGCAAAGGAGAUAGAACUGGAUGAAAUGAGAGAAUAUUUUUUUUUAGUUGAACUCUGGUUAAUGCCAAAAGUGUUCAAUCGCUAUGUGUGGGGAAGUUUCCUGGUACAAAGGAAAAAAAGAAAAACAGGUUGUUCAUACAUUUGGCUGCGUUAGUAAGUGGUAAACAGAAUUAAAUUUUUCUUAUGUGAACUCACACAUAUGUGCUUCAUAAUAUGUCACUCCUAUUUAACACAUGUCUUUCACACACACACGCACCCCCCCACACACAGCCUUUUGCUAGUCUUCUUCCAGUUUGCUUAUUAACCCAAAGAAAGAAAAAAAUACAGAAGCCUUCUUGCAUAGGUUGCCUUAAUCAGAUGAAUUAUGGAAACAACUCUGUCUCCCUUAUUUUUCUUUCAUUAGUUUUCCAUUCUGUUGUAUUUAUUUAAUUUUUAUUUCAUUUUCCAGACCUAAGUCAAUGUUAGUCUACCACUGUACAUCUGGUAACCUCAAUCCCUGCAAUUGGGGCAAAAUGGGAGAAAUAUACAUCAGAUAUGGUUGAGUGCAGAAAAAUAAAGGAGAUUAAAGAAGUAAAUAGUGUUGUGGGAAGGCUGCUAUUUGAUAUGUGAUGGCCAAAGAAAGUCUCUCCGAUAAAGUGUCUUCUUAGUAGAGACCUGAAAUAAAUGAGAGGGCAAAUCAGAAGGACAUGUGGAUGAAAUAUUCCAAGUUGAAGAAACAGAUUCCAGGUCUUGCCAACCUUUGAAAUUCCAAUUCCAUUUGAGAGAGCUUUUAGGAGGCCAUAUGCUGAUUUCACCACCAGCAACUUCACAACCCAGUACUGGAAUGCCAUCAGCCACCAGGCCCCUGCCAUCAUCUAUGACUUCUAUCUGUGGCUUACUGGAAGGAAACUCAGGGCCUGUGCAUGCCAGACAAGUCCAAGCCAGCUCAAAGAACAACCAGCCACCUCUGCCACCUGCCACCUCUGCAAACUGCCACUUCCUGCUGGCAGGAUUUGUUUUGCAUCCUGUGAAGAGCCAAGGAGGCACCAGGGCAUACGUCUACUCACUUAUAUCUGUUUGUCUGGAAUGUAACCCAUGUUUGUUUGUACAAUAAAUAAAAUUGAUCUUGAAUGAAAA